AGAGACAGCAGCCGCCGCGGUAAUACGUAGGUGGCAAGCGUUGUCCGGAAUUAUUGGGCGUAAAGGGCUCGCAGGCGGUUUCUUAAGUCUGAUGUGAAAGCCCCCGGCUCAACCGGGGAGGGUCAUUGGAAACUGGGAAACUUGAGUGCAGAAGAGGAGAGUGGAAUUCCACGUGUAGCGGUGAAAUGCGUAGAGAUGUGGAGGAACACCAGUGGCGAAGGCGACUCUCUGGUCUGUAACUGACGCUGAGGAGCGAAAGCGUGGGGAGCGAACAGGAUUAGAUACCCGUGUAGUCCCUGUCUCUUAUAC
rnacentral:rRNA from 1 species